rnacentral:rRNA from 1 species
UUAUCAGAGAGUUUGAUCCUGGCUCAGGAUGAACGCUGGCGGCGUGCCUAACACAUGCAAGUCGAGCGAAGCACUUAACUUCGAUCCUUCGGGUGAAGAGUUCUGUGACUGAGCGGCGGACGGGUGAGUAACACGUAGGUAACCUGCCUCACACAGGGGGAUAACAGUUAGAAAUGACUGCUAAUACCGCAUAAGCGCACAGGGCCGCAUGG